UAUUCUCCUUCCCCUUCCCAACCAGCCCCAGUCUUCCCCGGUGGCACCAAUAAGUAGACAUGGGUUUCUUUUGGUACUGCCACCGAUGGUCUAACAAGGGAGUCGAUUGUGUUCAUGUCCAUGAGGCAGUUCUACCUCUCUCGGUAGUACAAAAACUUUCUCGCCACAAAUCAUGCAAGUGAUCCUCAUCGACUAUACAUUUAUAGUUUCUUCACAGUUCAGUAUAUCACGUAUAUUAGGAUGCUAACGCCACUCAUGAGUUGGAUGCUAUAGCGUAAGGAAAAUUGAUAGCCAGGCAUGAUCAUCCAUCCAUCAAUUUUGUUUGCUUUUUCUUCUGUUGUUAGUUUCUACUACUUUGCUAGAUAAGUGAUGUCUAUCUGAAGCUGUGAACCUUAGGAACCUUGAUCUUAAUAUUGGUGUUUGCGAAUUUUGAAUGAAGGUCAUGCAACCAGUUUUCUGAAUAAAUUUGUUGAUGAGUGUGUUGCAUUGUUGAUUUCAUGGUUAUUCUUCAAUUUGGAUGCAUGGCUAUUCUUGGGUUUGAGCCAUAGGCAUGCAGCAAUGAAUUCUAAUUUCAUUGAUGCUGAGAGGAAAGUUCUGACCUUGGGCUUCAUCCAUGUGAGGGAGGAUUGGAUAUAGAAUGAAUUUCCUGGGAUUUUUAUUCAUUCUAGCAGGGUUCAAUCUUUUAAUGAAAACCAUACACAUCAAUUUUGAAUAGAAAUCUUAUCCCAAUAUUUUUGACCACUACUGUACUUCGAUUUCAAUAACAAAAUUUGGUAUCUCUAGGAUUCCUGAUUAGCCCUCGGACAAGAUGGAUUUGCAAUUUACAUGGCUUUACCUAUUUCUUGAACUGAAUAGGGUGAAUUGUAGCAAAAACAUGAACAAUAAUGUGUUCAUGAUGGUAUAGCUACAAUAUGUAUGUUUUGCCUUUGUAAAAGGUAUCUGGCACAAUAAACUAAAACACAUGGUUUCUUAGUUGCCAGUCUAUAUCUCAAAUGCUUUUUGAGUUUUAUGUUUUGAUAAAUGCAUUGUCAUCGAUAAUUAUUCUUUCUAAGUAACCUCCUUAAUUUUCAAGCUAACAGAGCAGAAAAUGUCUAUUGUUCAGGAUGACCAGAAAUCGCGACAAGAGCUGGUAAGUGCGUUCACAACUGCUACAGUUCUGCACUAAUGUUGUAUUCUACGAUAUUAUAUUCUUGGAAAAUAAUUCAAUCGUUUAUUUAUUUGUUAA